GACGAACGCUGGCGGCGUGCCUAAUACAUGCAAGUUGAGCGCUGAAGGUUGGUACUUGUACCAACUGGAUGAGCAGCGAACGGGUGAGUAACGCGUGGGGAAUCUGCCUUUGAGCGGGGGACAACAUUUGGAAACGAAUGCUAAUACCGCAUAAAGACUUUAAACACAAGUUUUAAGUUUGAAAGAUGCAAUUGCAUCACUCAAAGAUGAUCCCGCGUUGUAUUAGCUAGUUGGUGAGGUAAAGGCUCACCAAGGCGAUGAUACAUAGCCGACCUGAGAGGGUGAUCGGCCACAUUGGGACUGAGACACGGCCCAAACUCCUACGGGAGGCAGCAGUAGGGAAUCUUCGGCAAUGGACGAAAGUCUGACCGAGCAACGCCGCGUGAGUGAAGAAGGUUUUCGGAUCGUAAAACUCUGUUGGUAGAGAAGAACGUUGGUGAGAGUGGAAAGCUCAUCAAGUGACGGUAACUACCCAGAAAGGGACGGCUAACUACGUG
rnacentral:rRNA from 1 species